CUGGCGGCGUGCCUAACACAUGCAAGUCGAACGGGGGUUACGAGAGCUUGCUCUUGUAACUUAGUGGCGAACGGGUGAGUAACGCGUGAGAAACCUGCCUCUCAGUGGGGGACAACAGUUGGAAACGACUGCUAAUACCGCAUAACACUUUAGUACCGCAUGGUACAGAAGUCAAAGCUUUAUGUGCUGGAAGAUGGUCUCGCGUCUGAUUAGCUAGAUGGCGGGGUAACGGCCCACCAUGGCGACGAUCAGUAGCCGGUCUGAGAGGAUGAACGGCCACAUUGGGACUGAGAUACGGCCCAGACUCCUACGGGAGGCAGCAGUGGGGAAUAUUGCACAAUGGGGGAAACCCUGAUGCAGCGACGCCGCGUGAGCGAUGAAGUAUUUCGGUAUGUAAAGCUCUAUCAGCAGGGAAGAAAAUGACGGUACCUGACUAAGAAGCACCGGCUAACUACGUG
rnacentral:rRNA from 1 species